UGAGGCAGUCACGUGAGCAAGACUUGCCCCCCCAGCUGCCCGGGAACAGGAACAGGAACAGCAGCAGCAGGAGGACAAGCAGCCAAGCACUGCAGGAGCGCGUCUGUCGCGCAUGCGCCUUAUCGGAUCCUUGCUUUUCAACCUCGCAGUUGGACGUUGCUCUUCCUCCUCUUCCUCCUCCUCCUCUUCUUCUGCCUGGUAGCUAGCUCGCACAGAUUCUGCGAGCGUUGGCGGCAGAGACACAGCGACGCGAAUAGAUGUCUCCGGAACCAGCGUGGAGGGAAUCGAUCGUCGAAAGACUUGUCACCUCCAUGCUCGAGUGAAGGGAAAUUACAGUACAUGAACAGUCCCUCUUGACUGCCAUGAUGCUUGGACUCCAGGGAAAUUCGUCACCGUCCAAAAUUUACCAUUGUGUGGCAUGUUCGGCUUCCUUCAGUGGUCUGGCCUCUUUGCUCGUGCACCAAGCAACCCAUGCCAACACGCUCCCUAAGGUCAACACUCCCACUACGACACAGACUGACAUGAGCCCGCACGACACCCUGACGGCCAGCCAAAACCCGUCCAGUGAGGCGCACAGUUCCUCAGUAUCUCUCUAUAUCUGUGAUUGUGGCGAGGAAUUUCAUGACUUCAGUCUUAUGCUUGAACAUAAGCAAUUGCAUGUCUCUCAAGCACAGAGACCGCAGAAGCCAGACGGUACAGUCCUCGCAGGUGCAUUAGAGGCUGAUAUUGGUCUAACUGAGAAUGUAACACCAAGCCCAAUGAUAGAUUUUGUCCCGAGCUCUCAGUCUAUUUCAGGGUCCUCACUUGUUCAAAGAGAACCUGUUUCGAGCUGUCUUUCUACUAUAGGAUCCUCUCUUGUUAAAGAAGAACUUGUCCCGAGCUGUUCAUCUACUUCAGGGUCCACUCUUGUUCAAAAAGAAUUUGUCCCGAGCUGUCCAUCUACUUCAGGGUCCUCUCUUGUUCAAGAAGAGCAUAGAGAAAAUGAAAGACUGGAAGAAAGAGAUGCAGCUCCAGGAAUUCCUCCACAGGAAAAUCAAACAGCGCCAGAAAUUGGUGAACAAUGUGACCAAACAUUGGCAAUAAGUGACUCAAUCAAUGCGAAAGUUGAAAAUCCUCCACAAGAAUAUCAAACAGCGCCAGAAAUUGGUGAACAAUGUGACCAAAAAUUGUCAAGAAGUGACCCGAUCAAUGCGAAAGUUGAAAAUACUCCACAAGAACAUCAAACAGCGCCAGAAAUAGGUGAACAAUGUGACCAAACAUUGGCAACAAGUCACUCAAUCAAUGCGAAAGUCGAAAAUGUCGAAGAGAAGAGCCAGGACUUGCGGAAGCCUGUUAUCAGUGGUGAAGAAGGGAGUUUGGCCUCAAAAGACAAAGUAAUGAAAUUACUGGCAUCUGCAUACAUGAAGUGCAACUCAGUGUCUCCGUGUCCAAAUGAAAAUAAUGAGUUCAUAACCCUCAAACAAGAAGCCAUCCCAGUUGAUAUUACUGAUAUCACACCAGUCCAAAUACCUGGACCCCAACCUGAACCUAUCAAAGAUCUCUCUGUGGCAAAAAUUAGGCGAUUGCUUGCACAGCCAGGCAUCAAGACCAAAGCGCCAACUAUUAGCAAAAUUAUCGAUAGCAGCAGGAAGAAGAUAGUCUCUCUGACAAAAAUGCUCUCACCCGUUGUGGUUCUAGAAACCCGUCAGAAGCUCAGAGAUUCUAGCAACAAUGGCCUCUUUGGGAAAUAUCAAUGCGGCCGAUGUCGUCGCACAUUUCCAAACUCAGACCGACUAACCGAGCAUCACUUCUUGCACAAAAAGGAGAGGAUUAAGUGUUGUCGUCGCUGCAAACAACUCAUCAUUGGGAAGCUGCCUUUCACUGACAAUCAUGUAUGCACUCCAUCUGGGAAAAAGUCUGAUCAAUUGUCAAGCACGUUGCCACUAGCUCCAAAAAUAAUGCCAUUACAUGGCUUAAACAAUACAAAAAAAUCCUUCUAUUGUCCGGUGUGCAAGCACAACUAUGCCCGCAGGUACAACCUGAAGAAGCAUAAGUGUCAGGGUCCGAAAACGGCCCCAAUCCAGGUAUCUCACUGCACCGCUGAUAAAAUGCUAGCCUUAAGAUCAAGCAGUCAAGCAGGAACACCGAGGGACGAUCGCUUUCAACUUUCCAGAAACAUGUGUGUUAGCACUGAUGUACCCAGUCCGCUUAAAGUAGAGGUGACAUCUACCACUUCUGAAAAGUCGUAUAUUUCCGAUAUGGCCUGGUCUGGUUUUGCCAAAAGCUUCCCACCGUUUCUGCCCACGCAUUCAACGAGGGAUCAGCAUAGUGUCAUGGAAAACAGUCACUUGGAUGCAGCGUCAGUUCAUAAUGACAGCAGCAAUGAAGGCCAGUGGACAAUGCCUUUGGAUGAUGAAGCCGAACUCCUUAGUCCCUCACUGAACACUUUUAACAACCUUAAACCGGGGGAGUCUGAGUCUGAUGCGAUGGGUAAUCAGAGUUAUAUUGUCAGUGAUGGUGUCCAACGUUACCCUUGUCACAGGUGUCAAAAAACUUACAGUCGUCUUUCUACCCUGGAAAGGCAUUUACUCCUCUGUGGGUCGAGGCCUCAGGCUCCUGGAACUGUAUCACCGAGUGGUGGUGGUGGUGGUGGUGGUGGUGGUGGUGGUCAGUGGAUGCCUUCACAAAACAGUGGCACCAAGCCAAUGUAUCCUUGCUUUGUCUGCGGAAGAACCUUCAACCGUAAAGACAAUAUGAUGGCGCACAGGCGAAAAUGUCAGUUGCAACAGCACACAAACCAACAGCUGGUACAGCCCAUUUUGUCAGGUGGUGCUAAAGAGAGCUCGGAUAAUGAUGCUAACAACUGGGGCAUGAUGUCCCUCCCCUCUGUGCUGCCAAGGAGAGUGACCUGCGAGUGUGGGGUUGGAUUUACAUCUCCAAGACUGCUUCUAGAGCAUCUACAAAAGCAUGCACAGGAAUCCUACACUUGUCCAACUUGUGGCGAGACUGUCAAUUCCUGGUCCGACUAUGAAGUUCACCUGCAGAUCCACAUGCAUCCUCACCACCAACUGCUGAAGGGGAUACAUACACAACGGUCACAACCCCUUGUAUUACGGAUCCAACAACCUCCCCCUCAACCACAGCCUCCAACUCCUCCUGUGCAUCAGCCUCCACAAAAACAACCAGUCCCUGUGCGGGUGAGCGUGGGGAAAAAGCAACGGUCUGUAUGCGCGCGAUGCGGGAAUUCAUUUGCCUCCCGAUGUUCCCUUCGAAGGCACUUGGCAUGGAACCGAUGCAAGGGCAGCCGGCCUCAAACUGUGCCCAAAGCCUAUCGCUGCUCCCGGUGUAGCUCUGAAUUCCCCAACAUGGUCAGUCUUCUAUUUCACCAGAGGAGCGGCGCCUGCAAACCUGCCAUCAAGCCUGUGCGUUGCCCCGUUUGCCUCCGCUGGUUUGGAACAGUUGAGACUCUGCAAAGGCACCUCCUGACUCACAAACAGUCAGAAUCACACCGCUGUGAUAUUUGUAACGGAACAUACCCAAGUCUGAAAUCACUGAAAAACCAUCGCAGGAGGAUCCAUCGCAUCAUGGCUACAAAUGUGACGCAUCAGUCGCAAGAAUUAUUGACUUAAUUUAAUUUCUUUUCUACUAAGUUGUAAAAUGGAUGAGGUGUAUUUCAGAAAAUUCCACUUUUUGCAUUGUACUUGUAUCAAAUGUAAAUAGAUUACAUUGAUGUUUGUGUUGUUGUUUUUUUUGUUUUUUUUGAAUGAAAUGGAGAAACAUGUUAGGCUUUAUAGCAGUUUUCUGUCGUAAAAUGAAAUAUUCCAUGUGUGUACAACCAUUUUGUCAAGUACUGUACGGUAUUUCAGGUUAAAGGUUGUAAAUAAUUAGAGAUCAAAUUUUAUCCAAUAGUUGUAAUGUAGCUAGCUUGUUCUGGAUGUUAUUAAAUAUAUCAAUUGAUUAAAGCUUUGCAUAUUUAUUUAUGUACUACUUGGAAGAAGGGGGGUUUCAAAGCACCACAUAGAAUAUUAUAUGAUAAGGGCAUUCUGUGUUGGCCCUGCGAUGAGGUGGCGACUUGUCCAGGAUGUAGCUGAGACGGAAUCCAGCACCCUCCUGUCAUGAAAGGGACUAGUGGUAGGUAGAAAAUGGAUGGAUAGGGCUUACCCCAUCCCCCAUUUUGUUUUCCAUUCACUAUAAAGUGUUGAUGCGUUAGGGCAUUAGAAACAUGUUAGGUAUUAGCAUGCUUACUUUUUUUAAAAGCUAAUUUUGCAGUCAUAUUCCUGUCUGUGUCAUACGACAGCUGAUAUUAGUGCUAAAUGUUAAUUUGGCAGCCAGUCACCUCAGGGUCAUGAAACUGCUUAUUCUCGCUGUCGGAGUUAUAUGAUUAGGGCCGGGCCGAGCCCCUAUUGUUUUUCCCCCAUUCACCCUGAAAGUCUUGAUAAGUCAGGGCAUUAGAAACAUGUGUAUAUGUUAGCUAUUAGCAUGUUUACUUUUUUAAAAGCUAAUUUUGCAGUAAUAUAUUUGUGUGUGUCAUAUGACAGCUGAUAUAAGUAUGCUAAAUGUUAAUUUGGCAGCCAGUCACCUUAGGGUCAUAAAACUUUGUGUAUUUGCGUUGUUGGAGAUGAACAUUCAUACAUUUAUACAAAAAGUUUGGCUUUUAAUUUUCUUUGGAAGUCUUCUGGUCCCUCCCUCGUCAUGCCUCACGCUUUGAAAAUUCCUGCUCAAAUUGGAUGUGCAUGCGUCUUUAAGUAUCGUCACACAGGCAUUUGACAUGAAAAUAACAUCAAUAAUUACAAUAACAAUUGUAAUUAAACACCUUUCAAUAAAUAAACGUUUCAAUAAAAUAUUUAAACAUAAGACAACGUUUUUCAUGCACACAAUCGACGGUAUUUCUGAACGUUAAAAUGAUAAUCAAAGGUACUUGCAGCCUUCCGUCAGUAGGGGGCAGUAUAAGCCAGUAAACACCGGAUCUGCUGGACCAAAGCGCGCCAUUCGUCGAAGAAGCAGAAACUCUUCUUUUCAUGGUGUGGUCACUGGUCAGACGCUAUCUGUGCCAAAAGCACGGCAUUGCAGCUUCCCCCUAAAGGACAUCGGUUCGUUUGUGCCCCAUUUGUGGAAAGGGUGACCAAGUAAAGUCUCAACUCGGCGGUACUGUCGAUAUCCUAGCAAGGUACCACAGAAGGGUCCACGUUGAAGUGAAGCGAACACAUCCAUUCUUGGUUUCACUAUGGAUCAAAAAUAUCGUCCAAAGGCUCUGAAAUCCAGCCCGGGCGUCGGUUUGAGCACUGGCGGGAUCUGCUUUUGCUGUGAGCAGAUCUUUUCCAGUCGGACAUUUUUGGAGGAGCACAUCUGCCCCUCUGCAAAUCACAUCUGCUCCUGCGGGACGGAGUUCAGCAAAUAUGCCGAUAUGCUGCUCCACAACAGCACUCACGAACCUGGACAGCAGGUGCUGGAUCACGAAACGAUAAGAAAGCGCAGAUUUCAGAAGCACAUUGAAGAGGAGGAGAAGCUGAAACGAUUCAAGUCAGGUCAAGUCGUGUGGAGUUCACAAAAAGCGGAUGGUGGUCCCACAACUUCCUUGGGGCAGCGAUCACUACAAGCACCUGGGGCAUCCGCUUCCUUGCUUACAAAUCCCAAGCGCUCCCCGCAGAUUUCCCAAGUGCCUGCCUUGAAUCCAUCGUCAUCCUUGUUCUCAAAGCCUCGCCAAAAAGGAAUAGAUAUGAAAAACAUGUUUUCCGGGGUAGGCUCACCCACAGUGGAUCUUUGGACACUAUACCAACCUGUGGUGUUGGUGCAGACAGUCCGCAAGUUUAACAAGUGGAAGCCAUACACUUGCGCUAAAUGCGGCGAGGGUUUCAUCACCAAGCGCACGCUUGUUUCUCACGCUAGCAUCCACGUCAUGGAUAAAGUUUCCGGCUGUAUUGGAUGUGGGAUGCUGCUUUGCAGCCGAAAGUUAGUGCCUCGCUUCCAUGAUUGUAACUCCCCCAUCACUCAGACCAAAUUGAAACUUGUCACGGCCAGGCCGCUCAAUUACAAGAGCCCGAUUCCGUCAAUCGACCUGACUCAGGAGUCGCCGAGGCAUCACCUGACGUCCGCCGUCAACAGGAACAAAAGCAGCCAGGUGCUUCAAGUCACUUCAGCGCUGCAGUUGAAAAAUCUAAACGUCCGAACAUACAGCAGAUCCGCUCAGGGACCUCACGCCUCGAUGUCCCAGCAGAUGAAAAAGCAGAAUUCUCUCGUCAACGCGCCUCAUAACACAUAUGCGUCCAUCAAAAGCAAUUGGAAGCAUUCUUCCACGUCUGCAGCGAUGAGCUUCCUCAGCCAACCAAUCCAAACCCCCUCAGAUGGGAAUGAGUUCAAAUGUCGAGUGUGUUACAUCCCCUUCGAAAGCACCAUGCAGCUCCAGAGGCACAAGUGUGCCAAAGCCAAGGAGUUUAUGGCCAAACACGGGCGGCUCGGCAAGCUCAUCAAGCCCAGGCGCAUCAACACGAUGGCGGUUCCAAAUCCUGACGUCACUCAGGUCAACGGUGAGAGAAAUUGCACGUUCCCAGUCGGCGGCACGAAAGAACAGGUCAUCACCGACAAGGGGCAAGGUGCUGCUGAGGAUGCAGGAGGGGAUCUGGAAGACGAUUGUUACAUUGUGGAGAGCCAACCAGAGAAACCCGCUGAAGUGAUCUACCAGGUUACCUCAUCUGUCCCAAUUAAAACUUGACCAGUGUACAUGUCCAACAUUGAGCUAAUAUUGGCCCAAAUAUCAUCUGGUUGUGUCCAUUCCAAAGGAAUAUCCUGUUUUCUGACACUUUUUGAACUUUUAAGCAUCCUUGUACGCGUGUAGUUUGGAUAGAACUAAAUAUGCAUUUUAAAUUUGCUGGACCCACACUAAUACAAACAUCCACCAAAAAAGUUAUGUAUACUUACCAGUGUAUUUAUACUUUCAAGUUAUGAUAAUGAUGGAUUAUGUGAUCAAAGUGUGUGCGGUUGCACCAUGCAGCAAGGCAAUGUAUAAUAGUUUUCUUGUUCUUUUAUUUUCUAAAUAUGUUUUAGCGUGAUCCGAAUGUGUUAGGUUGUAUGAAUUCACCCCCAUGGCAUACUACUUCCCUCUGUUGUAUUUCAAAUAAACAUGUAUUAAAAUAUAUUUUCAAA